rnacentral:rRNA from 1 species
UAACACCUGGAAACAGAUGCUAAUACCGGAUAACAACAGAUGAUGCCUAUCAACUGUUUAAAAGAUGGUUCUGCUAUCACUCUUGGAUGGACCUGCGGUGCAUUAGCUAGUUGGUAGGGUAACGGCCUACCAAGGCGAUGAUGCAUAGCCGAGUUGAGAGACUGAUCGGCCACAUUGGGACUGAGACACGGCCCAAACUCCUACGGGAGGCAGCAG